CUCAUGAACUACAAGAUCAUGACUUGAGCCGAAGUUGGACACUCAACUGACUGAGCCACCCAGGUGCCUCCUAAGUUGGUUGCUUUAGCUAAACUAUGAUAGUAUUGCCUCUUAGCCCCACAUUUGAUUCUCUGGCAAUCUGAGUUAAUAGAGUAUUUAUUAGUUUCCUAAAAGAAACUUUUAAAGUCUCUUCCAGUCUCUUCUCCCUACCAUAUAAAACUAUGAAUCAUGCCACCAGGAUGUAAUAUGUGACUUCUGAUCCUCGUGUAUGCUUUGACUUCUCUGUCCUCUUAUUUUUUAGGUGCUGCAGGAUGUAAAAAGAUGUUGAGAAGUUUAAGAAGGGGAAGUGGAAAGGGUAUUAUGGCUAUAUCGUAUCUCCUUCCAGUCAGUUCAGAAUUAUCUAUAUCUGUAUCUCUAUCUAUCUAUCUAUCUAUUUUUUUUUUUUUUCCUGGUUGGAUGUAGGCAUGUUUCUCCAAGCAAGAGGGUCAGACUGAAUGAGAAAGAAACUUUUUUAUUCUCUAUGUGGGCCAUCCUUGUUUUCAGAGUGAUGCAUGGAUCAGUCAUUACUUGCUCUGCUCAUUUCAGUUUCAUUGGUUUAAUUGUUAAAGGAAAUUCCCCCCAAAUUUAGAUGGUAGUCAGUUUUAAAUGUUACUGUAUUUAAUCUAUUUCUUUGGUUCCUUAUAGGCAUUUUAGGAGAAGGGAGUGGCAGCCGGCCGAAUGCCACUUGGAACUAAAAUCUCCCAGACUAAGCUAGUCUUAAAGGAAAUUUAAAAGUACUUCUUCCAAUGAAGUCAUGAACCCCUCAAAGUCAUGAGGAUUGGAACAACUUCUUCUAAAUUCCUGUUCCUGUUGAUAUUUUGACUUCUUCCUAUCAACCAUGAAUGAUCUUAGGGACAUCUAGAGUG